AGAGUUUGAUCCUGGCUCAGAUUGAACGCUGGCGGCACGCUUAACACAUGCAAGUCGAACGGUUUAUGGGGCAACCUAGAAGUCGUGGCGUACGGGUGAGUAAAGCGUAGGGAUCUGCCUAGUAGAAUGGGAUAACCUAGGGAAACUUAGGAUAAUACCGUAUAAGUUCGGAAGAAGAAAGCCAUGCGCAAGUUGGGCGCUAUUAGAUGAACCUACGUCGGAUUAGCUAGUUGGUGGGGUAAAGGCCUACCAAGGCGAUGAUCUGUAGCUGGUCUGAGAGGACGGACAGCCACACUGGGACUGAGACACGGCCCAGACUCCUACGGGAGGCAGCAGUGGGGAAUAUUGGACAAUGGGCGCAAGCCUGAUCCAGCGAUGCCGCGUGUGUGAAGAAGGCCUACGGGUUGUAAAGCACUUUCGGUAGGGGAGAAGUAUGGUGCAUGAAUACUGUGUCAUGUUGACGUUACUUACAGAAGAAGCACCGGCUAACUCUGUGCCAGCAGCCGCGGUAAUACAGAGGGUGCAAGCGUUAAUCGGAAUUACUGGGCGUAAAGGGUGUGUAGGUGGUUAUUUAAGUCGUGUGUGAAAACCCCGAGCUUAACUUGGGACGUGCGCAUGAUACUGAAUGACUAGAGUACAGUAGAGGAUAGCGGAAUUUCCGGUGUAGCGGUGAAAUGCGUAGAUAUCGGAAGGAACAUCAGUGGCGAAGGCGGCUAUCUGGACUGAAACUGACACUGAGACACGAAAGCGUGGGUAGCAAACAGGAUUAGAUACCCUGGUAGUCCAUGCUGUAAACAAUGAAAACUUGCUGUUGGUACCUAUAGGGUAUUAGUAGCGUAGCUAACGCGAUAAGUUUUCCGCCUGGGGAGUACGGCCGCAAGGUUAAAACUCAAAGGAAUUGACGGGGGCCCGCACAAGCGGUGGAGCAUGUGGUUUAAUUCGAUGCAACGCGCAAAACCUUACCUACUCUUGUAUCCCUGGAAACCAGCGGAGAUGUUGGUGUGCCGCAAGGAACCAGGAGACAGGUGCCGCAUGGCUGUCGUCAGCUCGUGUUGUGAGAUGUUGGGUUAAGUCCCGUAACGAGCGCAACCCUUAUUCUUAAUUGCCAACAGGUAAAGCUGGGAACUUUAAGAAGACUGCCGGUGAUGAACCGGAGGAAGGCGGGGAUGAGGUCAAGUCAUCAUGGCCCUUACGAGUAGGGCUACACACGUGCUACAAUGGUAAAUACAGAAGGAAGCCAAAUCGCGAGAUGGAGCAAAUCCUGUAAAGUUUAUCUUAGUCCGGAUUGGAGUCUGCAACUCGACUCCAUGAAGUUGGAACCGCUAGUAAUCGCAGAUCAGCACGCUGCGGUGAAUACG
rnacentral:rRNA from 1 species